GGAUGAACGCUAGCGAUAGGCCUAACACAUGCAAGUCGAGGGGCAUCACAAAGAGUAGCAAUACUUUUGGUGGCGACCGGCGGAUGGGUGAGUAACACGUAUGCAACCUACCUUCUACAUUGGGAUAACCCGUUGAAAGACGGACUAAUACCGAAUAAUACAGGGGCGCCACAUGGUGAUAUUUGUUAAAGUUUCGAGCAAUCGAUUCGGUAGAAGAUGGGCAUGCGUAUGAUUAGCUAGUUGGUGAGGUAACGGCUCACCAAGGCAACGAUCAUUAGGGGUUCUGAGAGGAAGGUCCCCCACACUGGUACUGAGACACGGACCAGACUCCUACGGGAGGCAGCAGUGAGGAAUAUUGGUCAAUGGGCGCGAGCCUGAACCAGCCAAGUCGCGUGAAGGAAGACUGUCCUAUGGAUUGUAAACUUCUUUUGUACAGGAAUAAAGUGUUCUACGUGUAGGAUUUUGCAUGUACUGUACGAAUAAGGAUCGGCUAACUCCGUGCCAGCAGCCGCGGUAAUACGGAGGAUCCGAGCGUUAUCCGGAUUUAUUGGGUUUAAAGGGUGCGUAGGUGGACUGAUAAGUCAGUGGUGAAAGUUUGCAGCUUAACUGUAAAAUUGCCGUUGAAACUGUUGGUCUUGAGUGCAAAUGAGGUAGGCGGAAUGUGUUGUGUAGCGGUGAAAUGCUUAGAUAUAACACAGAACACCGAUUGCNAAGGCAGCUUACUGGGGUGCAACUGACACUGAUGCACGAAGNNNNNGGGAUCAAACAGGAUUAGAUACCCUGGUAGUCCACGCAGUAAACGAUGAAUACUAACUGUAUGCGAUAUACUGUAUGCGGUACAGCGAAAGCGUUAAGUAUUCCACCUGGGGAGUACGUUCGCAAGAAUGAAACUCAAAGGAAUUGACGGGGGCCCGCACAAGCGGAGGAACAUGUGGUUUAAUUCGAUGAUACGCGAGGAACCUUACCCGGGCUUGAAAUGCAGACGACCGAAGUGGAAACACUUCUUCCAGCAAUGGCGUCUGUGUAGGUGCUGCAUGGUUGUCGUCAGCUCGUGCCGUGGGGUGUCGGCUUAAGUGCCAUAACGAGCGCAACCCUUGCGAUUAGUUACUAACAGGUUAUGCUGAGGACUCUAAUUGGACUGCCAUCGUAAGAUGCGAGGAAGGUGGGGAUGACGUCAAAUCAGCACGGCCCUUACGUCCGGGGCGACACACGUGUUACAAUGGGGGGGUACAGAGGGCCGCUACUGGGUGACCAGAUGCAAAUCUCAUAAAACCUCUCUCAGUUCGGAUCGAAGUCUGCAACUCGACUUCGUGAAGCUGGAUUCGCUAGUAAUCGCGCAUCAGCCAUGGCGCGGUGAAUACGUUCCCGGGCCU
rnacentral:rRNA from 1 species